GUGAAGUCGUCGCGUCGUGGUUCCCUGGGGCGGUAUGUCCGCUUCAGGGCUAAGAGGGAAUCCGGUGCGCCGAUCGUUCGGCAAUGCCGGGGCUGCCCCCGCAACUGUGAGCGGCGAGCCGCUGUCCAGCAAUGUCACUGAGGCGAGAGCCUUGGGAAGACGGACAGCGGCGAUGACCCGUGAGCCAGGAGACCUGCCAAGACGAAAUAACGUCCA
rnacentral:ncRNA from 1 species